UACAGGGGGGGCAAGCGUUGUUCGGAAUUACUGGGCGUAAAGGGUCUGUAGGUGGCCAACUAAGUCAGACGUGAAAUCCCUCAGCUUAACUGGGGAACUGCGUCUGAUACUGGAUGGCUCGAGUGUGGGAGAGGAAUGCGGAAUUCCAGGUGUAGCGGUGAAAUGCGCAGAUAUCAGGAGGAACACCAAUGGCGAAGGCAGCUCGCUGGGACGUGACUGACGCUGAGGCGCGAAAGCGUGGGGAGCGAACAGG
rnacentral:rRNA from 1 species